rnacentral:rRNA from 1 species
CCUCUACCAGUCAUACAUACUUUCUGGGAAGCGAUUCCCGGGGGAGUUCUAUGAGGGACUGACUGGGGUUACCAGUAGGAAGUUUGAGGCAAUAACAGGUCUGUGAUGCCCUUAGAUGUUCUGGGCUGCACGCGCGCUACACUGAUGGAGGCAGCGAGUUUGGGCCUGCGCCGGAAGGUGUGGGAAAUCUUGUGAAACUCCAUCGUGCUGGGGAUAGACCAUUGCAAUUAUUGGUCUUCAACGAGGAAUUCCUAGUAAGCGCAAGUCAUCAGCUUGCGUUGAUUACGUCCCUGCCCUUUGUACACACCGCCCGUCGCUACUACCGAUUGAAUGGCUUAGUGAGGCCUCUGGAGCCGCGUUGUGCCGAAAGGCGUGACUUGGUGAAACUGGCCAAACUUGGUCAUUUAGAGGAAGUAAAAGUCG